rnacentral:rRNA from 1 species
UACAGAGGUCCCGAGCGUUGUUCGGAUUCACUGGGCGUAAAGGGUGCGUAGGUGGCAGGGUAAGUUUGAUGUGAAAUCUCCAAGCUUAACUUGGAAACUGCAUUGAAUACUAUCCUGCUCGAGGGUUGGAGGGGGGACUGGAAUUCUCGGUGUAGCAGUGAAAUGCGUAGAUAUCGAGAGGAACACCAGUGGCGAAGGCGAGUCCCUGGACAACACCUGACACUGAGGCACGAAAGCUAGGGGAGCAAACAGG